UCCCUUGUCUUUCUUAACCUAGAAACAAGUUACAUAACAGAAAAUCAAAAUAUGGAAGGAAACUAAAAUUAAUCAUGUAAAUCAUUAUCAGUCUAGAUCUAGAUCUAGAUUCUACUUCAUAUCCAGAUCUAAUAAAUUUUCUUUUCAGAAAAUGCCUUCUUCAUCAAUUAAUGGAUAACUGGAGUUUUUGUUUUGACACACUAAACCUUGAUAACCCUUCCAUCACAAGAUUUACACAAGAUGCACAAGACACAUAUGCCAUCACAGAUUUAAUUGAAGGAGAAUGUUACAUGUGAAACAAGCAUGUCACAUGUAUGGUGUUUUAAAAAGCUUACUUCUAAAACCUAAGCUGUUAAACUUUCGUAACAUCACUACAAAAUCAAACCAUUACACUGUUCUUGGCAUACAUCAGCAUGCUUCAACAGAGGAGAUCAGAGCUGCAUUCAUCAAGAAAUCAAAGGAAUGUCACCCCGAUACAAAUCAAAGUAACGCAGACAAUCAUACGCAGUUUGUUUUGGUAAACGAAGCAUAUUCGACUUUAAGUAAACCAGGAAGUCGGAGGGACUACGACUUAUCUUUAAAUCACCAAAAGCACUAUAAAAAUUCACGCAGCGCAAAACAGAGUACAGAGUUUGAAGGUCAUGAAAUUUUUCAUAGACCUCAGGCGUAUAAUGACCUGAAUGACGUAAAAAGACAGGCUAACGACAAGUUCUACCGUAAUCAGCCAUAUUAUGGGAUUAAAGGACUAAAAAAAACUACCUAACUCAAGCAUUGUUGUGGGAUGUUUAAUCUUCAUGCUUGUAGGAAUGGUCUUACAGUUCAUUGUCGUCACAAGAUCUUAUUUGCAGUCCAAGAAAAGGCUGGAUGCAACCAGCGCUAGAAAUCAUGAACUUCACAUGAAUGCUCAGAGAAAGUACGAGGAAACACUUUCUGUAAAGAUACCUUUAAAUGGGCUUACACCCACCGGUGAGAGGGCAAAAAACAAAGCAGUUUUAGAUAAAUUUACAGCAGAUUGAAUUUCUUCUUAUAAGGCUGCUAGUAGAAUUUUAUUUUUAGAGAUCUUAUAAUAUUUUACCCACAAUACUGUGAGUGUGAGCUAAAUUUUAAACUCCAUUAAACUGUUUACCAGUUGUCAGCACAUUUUAAACCAGUCUUUGGAAAACUGAAAACCUCUUCUGAUAAUAAUUUAAAUUUAAAAAAUAUUUUAUCAGAGUAAAAUAUUUUAUUCAAGUGUAUUUUUAGCAUCAUGUAGUAAAACUAAAUGUUAUAACACUAAAAAAGCUACAUGACAUUACUGCCAGUCAAACACAAUGUUCAUGAUUUGUAAUCUAGAUGGCAAAAUAAUAUUUUAAAUAGCACCCUGUUUUUGAAGAAUAUGUGCAAUUAAUGUUGAAAAAAUUGUAAUGUUUUAUAUUAUGUUAAAUGUGUUAUAAAAGGGUUUGUUGUGCAUUUGUUAAUUAUUUAUGUGAUUUGUGUUGUGUGUACAUAUUUUAUGACUGCUUACAAAAUGUUUCUGUGUGGUGAUUUCAUUAUGUCCCAGCUCUUUCAAUUGUUGGAGAUUAAUUCUAGGUUACUUUACCAUGUGUAUUCAAGGUGUAUUAAUGAAUACAGUUUUAACAUUGCAUGCAGUUUAAGAAUCUAAAAAUAAAUAUUUCUU